ACUCAAAUGAAUUGACGGGGGCUCACACAAGCGGUGGAGGAUGUGGUUUAAUUCGAAGCAACGCGAAGAACCUUACCAGGUCUUGACAUUCCGGGAUUAGCGGCGUGAAAGCGUCGUGAUUGCCCUCAAAGCGUAACCGGAACAGGUGCUGCAUGGCUGUCGUCAGCUCGUGCCGUGAGGUGUUAGGUUAAGUCCUUUAACGAGCGAAACCCCUACGAUUAGUUACCAACGCGUCAUGGCGGGGACUCUAGUCGGACUGCCGCGAAAGUAGGAGGAAGGUGGGGACGACGUCAAGUCAUCAUGGCCUUUAUGAUCUGGGCUACACACGUCCUACAAUGGGUGGUACAACGGGUAGCGAAGUCGCGAGACGGAGCCAAUCCUGAAAAGCCAUCCUCAGUUCAGAUUGUGGGCUGCAAUUCGCCCACAUGAAGCUGGAAUCGCUAGUAAUCGCGGAUCAGCUACGCCGCGGUGAAUAUGUUCCUGAGCCUUGUACACACCGCCCGU
rnacentral:rRNA from 1 species